GUGCUCGUUUCCGCAGGACAUGUACUAAAAUUGGAACUAUAGAGAGAAGAUUAGUAUGGCCCCUGCACAAGGAUGACACGCAAAUUCGAGAAGCAUUCCAUAUUAAA